GAGACCUGUGUGUGUGGAACCUGAAAGAAAGGGAUUGUAAUCCUUGGAAAGUAUCUUUUUGUUACUGGCAAAUGGUGUAGCCAUCCAGUUGGUAGUUUAAGGACUUGGAAAUGUUUAGAUUAAGCGCUCCUUGAUGGAGUUAGUUUUUUGUUUGUUUGUCAAGGAAUACAUAUACAGGUACCAUCCUGUUUCAACACAGUUUCGUUGGGUACGUUAUGUUUUCUUAUUCUUGAAGACAGCGGAGUCAAAACCACACGCCACAAUAUAUAAAAACUGAACAGCAAUUCCUACAACAGCUCUGGAGAACUGAAGGUCAGUGAGUGUCCUUCGAUUCCACUACAAAUCAAAUUGCCUCUUUACAACCCGGAGCACAAGAACAGAUGUUGGUGAGCUACCAGCUCCUGGAGCACACAGAUUUAAAUCAUGAUUGUUUGUGUCCCUGGAAGGCCCACAGACAUCUUGAGAUACCUUCACAAUCCAAGGAAAACCAGGAGGCAACACGACUUGAAUUGAAAGACAUCAAUUGUGUUAUUUCCACAUACCUGUUAUGAGAAUUUCUUAUACUUAAUAAUGUGCAUUUACUUAUUCCUAAU